UACGUAGGGGGCAAGCGUUAUCCGGAUUUACUGGGUGUAAAGGGAGUGUAGACGGCAUGGCAAGUCAGAUGUGAAAGCCCGGGGCUCAACCCCGGGACUGCAUUUGAAACUGUCAGGCUGGAGUGCAGGAGAGGUAAGCGGAAUUCCUAGUGUAGCGGUGAAAUGCGUAGAUAUUAGGAGGAACACCAGUGGCGAAGGCGGCUUACUGGACUGUAACUGACGUUGAGGCUCGAAAGCGUGGGGAGCAAACAGG
rnacentral:rRNA from 1 species